rnacentral:rRNA from 1 species
AGGGUUCGAUUCUGGCUCAGGAUGAACGCUGGCGGCGUGCUUAACACAUGCAAGUCGAACGGAGUUUUAAACGGAAGUCCUCGGAUGGAAGUUUAGAAACUUAGUGGCGGACGGGUGAGUAACGCGUGGGUAACCUGCCUCAUACAGGGGGAUAACAGUCGGAAACGAUUGCUAAAACCGCAUAACAUAGCGAAACCGCAUGAUUUUGCUAUCAAAUAUUUAUAGGUAUGAGAUGGGCCCGCGUCUGAUUAGCUAGUUGGUGGGGUAAUGGCCUACCAAGGCGACGAUCAGUAGCCGGCUUGAGAGAGUGACCGGCCACAUUGGGACUGAGACACGGCCCAAACUCCUACGGGAGGCAGCAGUGGGGAAUAUUGGACAAUGGGGGAAACCCUGAUCCAGCCGACGCCGCGUGAGUGAAGAAGUAUUUCGGUAUGUAAAGCUCUAUCAGCAGGGAAGAUAAUGACAGUACCUGACUAAGAAGCCCCGGCUAACUACGUGCCAGCCGCCGC